rnacentral:rRNA from 1 species
UGGGGAAUAUUGGGCAAUGGGCGAAAGCCUGACCCAGCAACGCCGCGUGAGGGAAGAAGGUUUUCGGAUUGUAAACCUCUGUCCUAAGGGACGAAGGAAGUGACGGUACCUUAGGAGGAAGCCCCGGCUAACUACGUCGCC